rnacentral:lncRNA from 1 species
UCUCUCUCUCUCUCUCUCUCUCUCUCUCUCUCUCUCUCUCUCUCUCUCUCUUUCCCCCCCUGGUUUAUUUCACUCUCACUCAUCCUAUCUCAUUUCUGCCACUUAUGCUUCAAUCUUCAGCUCCCUGUCCUCUCCCAUACUUUUUAUGAGUCCUUCAGCCCUCUAGUUUUACCUAGUGUCUCCAGGCUGAGGAUUUCCAAAAUAGACCGCCAGUUCUAAUUCACCUGAGAUAUAUCUCUUCCUAUUAGACAUUUUCCCUUAAAUAUUCACUACAGCAAUCUAGAUUUUGUUAUCCUCCUCCACAAAUCACUUCUUUCCCUCAGCUACCUUGAGCAAUAGCAACAUCAUUCUUAAAAUCUGAUUUGGUGCAUUAGAAAAUGCCUACAACGCUACUCUUCCUCAAAAUACUGCUAUUUCUUCUUCAAAAUUCCUUUUCUAGCUAUUUUUUUUCUAGCGUUUCCCACUGUCACCAUGUUAGCCAAACACUUCCACACAUCUAGAAUCCUGUCUAACAUAACUCCUAAGUAUUGGUCCUGAUUAAGUCAUGACCUACAUGAGUCCAUCCUGUAGAUUUUAUCCAAUGAUUUUUACUAAAAUAUUACAUAUACUGGAUAACUUCUCCACUUAGGAAACUAUAAUCAUCACCUUAUUGGGCACAUCACCCUAAGUCUAAUGAACUAGUAUAUAUAAACCCAUGCAUGCAUAAAGACCCACGUACACAUUCACACAUUAACAUUUAUUAUCACAUUUGGAACAUGUGACACCUACAGCAUAUGGAAGUUCCAGGGCAAGGGAUUGAAUAUGAUUGGCAGCUGUGACCUACACCACUUCUGCCACACUGGAUCCUUUAACCCACUGCAUCAGGCUGGGAAACAAACUUGCACCUCCGCAGUGACCUGAGCCCCUGCAGUCAGGUUCUUAACCCACUGCAUCACAGUGGGAACUCCUGUCUGAUUUUUUAAUUAGUCACUAUUUUUGGAUUGCCAAUAAAAAUAUAGCCAUAAAGCAAACAAUCGACAGGAGAAUAAAUAUUAAUACCUAAUAUACAUAUUAAAAUGUUUAACCUCUCUAAACCUCAGAUACAGGUAAGUUGUGGUUUUUUUGUUUUUAGGUUUUUUUUGUUUUUUGUUUUUGUUUUUGUUUUUUUUUUUGCUUUUAUAGGGCCACACCAUGGCACAUGGAGGUUCCCAAGCCAGGGGUCAAAUUGGAGCUGUAGCUGCUGGCCUACAUCACAGCAUCUGCGACCUACACCAUAGCUCAUGUCAAUGCUGGAUCCUUAACCCACUGAGCAAGGCCAGUGGGUUCAUUACGCAACCUCAUGGAUCCUAGUCAGAUCCAUUUCCACUGCACCAUGACAGGAAAUCCAAUACAGGCAAGUUUUAAAGUAACAUGUCAUUUUCAAAUAAUAGUGAUGACUGGGAACAAAACAAACUUCAAUGACUGUAAGCAUGCCUUGAGAUCAUGACACCCUCAGACUCAGAAGGUGGAAAUAAAGUGACUUAGCACGAGUACAUAGAAACCUUUAAAAUGCUGAUACCUAUGGAUUCAGUAUAUCCAAUCUAGUUAUCUAGCCUAAGAAGGAAGCAUGUGAUUUUAAAGGUUUUGUGUGUGUGUGUGUGUGUGUGUGUGUGUGUGUGUGUGCGUGCGUGUGUGUAUUUGUUGUUGUUGUUGUUUUUCUCUUUUUAGGGCCACACCAGCAGCAUAUGGGAGUUCCCAGGCUAGAGGUCAAAUAGGAGCUACAGCUGCUGGCCUACACCACACCACAGCAGAUGAGGAUCCAGGCCUCAUUUGCAACCUACACCAUAACCCACAACAAUACAGGAUCCUUAACCCACUGAGUGAGGUCAGGGAUACAAUCCACAUCCUCAUGAAUAGUAGUCAGGUUCAUUACCACUGAGCCACAAUGGGAAGUCCUGUAUAUAUUUUUAAAUGAACAGCUGGGUAGACUUUUAUGAUUUAGCACUGAAUGAAAAAAUGAGGAUACUAAACUGUUUAUGAAGUGUUAUGCAAAAUAAGAAAAAAGUGUGUAGAUAUGCUUAUACUUAUAAAAUAUGUAUACAUAUCUAUUUUAAAUGUAGGAAGAAAAUUACAUGAAGGAAACAGGCUAUUUUCUCUUGAUUUGAGUUAUAGGUAGUUUCAUUUUUGUUUCUACAUUUUUGACUCUUCUGCAAUGAUUCUGUGUCACUUUCAUGAAUAAAAAAUAUUUGUUUAAAUUAAAAAUGAAAUCAAAGUCUGGAUAUGGCUCUCCAAAGAACAAUGUUUGGAUCUUUUUUGGAAAGUUCAUAGAAAGUUGAGAGACAGACAUCUGCAGAAAAAUAAAAUGAAAAAAACAAAACAAAACAGUGUGCACUCAGGUAAUGCUGUAAAAUCUAAUUUAAUUGCAGAGCUCACUCUAAAGGUUGAUAAUAUUGCAGAUUGAUCUUUGUGUAACUGAAUUUUAAGAUCCUCCCAUACCCUUACUACCAUUCUCAAAACAUUAGUUUUAUAUUUUAAAUUGACCACCAUCAAAGUUAUUUUACCAAAUAUUUGAUGAAAAUAGUGGGAAAAAUAGAUACUAUGGAGUAAAAAUAUAUCUUUUGCCAAUAGAAGAAAGUCAUUUUGUUUUGCACCUGAUGUUUACAUGAGAAUUGGCUUAUGUGAACAUAAUAUUCUAAGAAGUAUUUUGCUUAGGCAUUUAAUAACUUCAUUAACCUCAGGCUACAGGUGUGCUACAUAUUGUUAAGAAACAGAAAAUUUAAUCAAAGCAUACAUAACCCCUAAUAGCUAUUUUAGAUUAUUUUUUUUAUUGUGAUGCUAAAGAGUGUCGACUCUGGAGACAGUCUGGCAAGAGGUGCAUCCCAGUUUCACCAUCAAACACCUGUAUAAUUUUGAGGAAGUUCUCAACCACGCUGCUCUUAGAAUUGCAACAUCCAAAGAUUUCAGUAAAACCAAAUGCUUAGAACAGAGCCAGGUCCACAUAAGUACUACAUGAAUGUUACCUGUCACUGCUAUUCCCUUAUACAAUCUGUAUUCCCCAGUCUAUGUUGGUCCUGGUUACUCAACAGUUAUUAAAGUUUGAUUAAGUAUGAGAAUGUAUCACAAAAUAAAUUAUAAUUUCACAAAAGGAUAUGAGAUACAAAUUUUUAUAUUGAAAAAAACAUCCAAUCAUUCAAUUCUGCCACAAAAUAGUAUUUAUCAGCAAUAGUUUACAUAUGUAUACAUAUGUUUAGUAUAUUCUUACCAUGUUAGAUAGUUGUUCUCCUAUCCACUUUUAAAACUCUAAAUGAAGUAUAUGCCCCAUCUAAACUUUUUAAUGUAAAUGUGUGCUUGGUUACAAUUUUGCAUUUCUGAUUACACAAGGGGAAAAAAAUGUCUCCACUAAGGGAUUUUUUUUUUCUUUUAGGUCAUUGAAAUAGAUUCUAAAAAUUGAGCCUGAGGAAAGAUAAGAAUGAAAUGGCUCAAAAGUAAAUUUUAUCCUACUCAUUUAAAUCAUUUCCAAAGCCCAAAUAAAAUAAGUCCUGAGUAAAUAAUGUUAAAAAUACAAAACUAUCAAAUUAACGACUUGGUGUACCCCACAGCAGAAAAAAGAAUCCAUGUUAAAAGAAUUAAAGAUAUUUUAUUUAAUAUAUGAUCCCUGCAUCCACACUUUCGUAAAAUGACUGAUUUUCAGAGGUGCAUUCUUACCAUAGAUAAAUUUCCCAAGUGACACCAUAAAUACAGAGUGACUGAAAAAAGGAUUAAGAAAACAGUUAAACUCAAGGCUGUAGAUGACUUCUGUGACUAGAGUAAGAGGUUAACUUGCCAGUUGACUGGAUUUAUUUCUGGAAUUAGCCUAAUGUGGUUGAGAAGUCAGAGGGAAGAUGGAUUUCACCAUUGCUUGCCUGCUUGUGCUUCUAGAAGUCUUCACAUCCAAAGGAAUUUAUUGUAUGUUUCAGAACAGUUCAUAAUUUAGGUUUCAGUGUCCAUCAGUAUAGUGCUUUAUCAUUUUGUGUUAGACUUCAAAUAACCUAAAUAAUCUUUUAUGUUGAUAUCUUGAGAAGAGGCAUAGCCAUCAAAACUGGAGGCUCUGAAUAAAAUAUACAUUACAUUUAUUUAUUUUUAAGGAAAUUAUUCAUUUCUGCUCUUUAUCUUUCCUCUUAGGACAUAUUUUAUAACCCAGAGCUCAUUAAAAAUUGCUGGUUAUACUAUAAAGUCUAUACAAGUUUUGAUAUUAGAAAGUUAAAUUACUCCUUUCGCUUUAAUCAGACCUGCUAUUUUAUUGUAUUAUUUUGUUUUUAUCAUACUGUUGCAAUUAUUUCUUACAAAUAUACUUUUCAAACCCACAAUAACUUUUAAUUCAUAUUUUAUAUUAAAAAGGACACAAAUAUACUAAAUAUAUAUUAUAGUACAAAGAUUGCUUGUCAUUAUUUUAAAACACAUUUACAAUUAAUAGAGGUUCAUUUGGGACCUUAAAAUACUGGUCUUUGAACAGAAAUAGAAUUUGAGAUGUGACUCAUGUAGCACUUAUUCAUGAUAUAAGUUGAUUUUUUGGAACCUCUCUUUUUUUAGCAUGUCAAAAAGACAUUCAAUACAUACAGCUUCUAUAGUUAUAAAGAUGAGGUGAAACAGUAUAUAAAAUAAAUAAUAUGUUUCCUAUACAUUAAAGAGGCAUAUAAACAAUGUCUUUUCUUAAAGAGACAAAUAUACUAAAUAGUAACAAUUUGAGACUUUUAGUAUUGCUGAAGGAAAAUAUCAUAAUUAUUCUCUAUGAGAGGAGUACAAUUUAUGAGUUAAGAACAUUUGUCACCAGCAUGAGAAGAUUUUCAACUCAUUUGAAAUUAUCACCAGUUACAAUUCCUAAUGAAGAUUAUAAUUUUCAUCAGUUUCUCUUAAGGCGAGAAUAUCUCAAUGAAAUUUUCAUGAUGUAGAGAAGGUAGAGUUCACCCAUUUUCUAUUAGGUUAAUUUUGACCAUUGGACCCCUUCUAAUCACAGCAUUCUCUGUGUGAUGGAAAGCCACCAAAGUAUUAAGUAACUCAUGAUGAAAACAGACUAGAGAAAAUGAAAACUGACUCAU